CUAGAUAGAAUUAUGAUAAUAACAUUGUCUAUCUAUGUGACUUGACCAUUUUACGUGCCAGCAGUCGCGGUAAUACGUAGUAGGCUAGUGUUACUCAUCAUUAAUAGGUUUAAAGCGUUCCUAGACGGUUAAUUAAGGCUUUUAAACUGGAUGGUUUUUAGUAUACUAAUUAAACUAUAGUUAUAUGUAAGGAUGAAUUAAAGUACUGUUGGUGUAGAGAUGAAAUUCUUUGAUACCACGUUAUAUACGGCACAGGUAACGGCGAAAGCAUCAUCUUAUGUAAUAACUGACGUUAAAGGACGAAGGCUCUCGAACACAAAAAGGAUUAGGUACCCAAGUAAGUUGGAAGCAGAAAAUGAUGAAUGUCAUAGAUUAGAUUUAGAUCUGGUUUAUAAAUGAAAGUGUAAGCAUUCCACCUCAAGAGUAAUUUGGCAACAUUGGAACUGAAAUCAUUAGUCCGUUUCUGAUACAAGUAGUGAAGUAUGUUGUUUAAUUUGAUAAUCCGCAAAAAACCUUACCACAAUUUGAAUAUUAAAAUUAUAUUUAUUACAAGCGUUGCACGGCUGUUUUAAGUUAAUCUCGUGAGAGUUUGGUACUGCCAAGAAUUAACGUAAACCCUUACUAUAUUUUUAUAUAUGGUACUCCCACCCGAUUAAUAGGGUGGGUAAUAGGG
rnacentral:rRNA from 1 species